rnacentral:rRNA from 1 species
GCAUCGAUGAAGAACGCAGCGAAAUGCGAUAAGUAGUGUGAAUUGCAGAAUUCAGUGAAUCAUCGAAUCUUUGAACGCACAUUGCGCCCUUUGGUAUUCCAAAGGGCAUGCCUGUUCGAGCGUCAUUUGUACCCUCAAGCUUUGCUUGGUGUUGGGCGUCUUGUCUCUAGCUUUGCUGGAGACUCGCCUUAAAGUAAUUGGCAGCCGGCCUACUGGUUUCGGAGCGCAGCACAAGUCGCACUCUCUAUCAGCAAAGGUCUAGCAUCCAUUAAGCCUUUUUUUCAACUUUUGACCUCGGAUCAGGUAGGGAUACCCGCUGAACUUAAGCAUAUCAAUAAGCGGAGGA